ACACGUACUACGUAGUUUGAUCAGUGGCUACGAGGACGACGCUGGCGGUGUGCUUCACACAUGCAAGUCGAGCGAGGUAGCAAUACCUAGUGGCGGACGGGUGAGUAACGCGUGGGAAUCUGCCUUUAGAUGGGGGAUAACGGGUCGAAAGACUCGCUAAUACCGCAUAUGACGAAAGUUGAAAGGAGUAAUCCGUCUAAAGAUGAGCCCGCGUCCGAUUAGCUAGUUGGUGGGGUAAGGGCCUACCAAGGCGACGAUCAGUAGUUGGUCUGAGAGGACGACCAGCCACACUGGGACUGAGACACGGCCCAGACUCCUACGGGAGGCAGCAGUGGGGAAUUUUGGACAAUGGGCGCAAGCCUGAUCCAGCAAUGCCGCGUGAGUGAAGAAGGCCUUCGGGUUGUAAAGCUCUUUCAGUCGAGAAGAAAAGGCUGCAGUGAAUAACUGUAGUUUAUGACGGUAUCGACAGAAGAAGCACCGGCUAACUACGUG
rnacentral:rRNA from 1 species